GUGCUCGCUUUGGCAGCACAUAUACUAAAAUUGGAACGAUACAGAGAAGAUUAGCAGGGCCCCUGCACAAGUAUGACAUGCAAAUUCAUGAGGUGUUCCAUAUUUUU
rnacentral:snRNA from 1 species